GAUCAUGGCUCAGGACGAACGCUGGCGGCGCGCCUAACACAUGCAAGUCGAACGAGCAAAGAGGAGCUUGCUUCUCUGAGCGAGUGGCGAACGGGUGAGUAACGCGUGAGGAACCUGCCUCAAAGAGGGGGACAACAGUUGGAAACGACUGCUAAUACCGCAUAAGCCCACGGGUCGGCAUCGACCAGAGGGAAAAGGAGCAAUCCGCUUUGAGAUGGCCUCGCGUCCGAUUAG
rnacentral:rRNA from 1 species